UACGUAGGGGGCAAGCGUUGUCCGGAAUCAUUGGGCGUAAAGAGCGUGUAGGUGGCUCGGUAAGUCCGCUGUGAAAGUCCAGGGCUCAACCCUGGAAAGCCGGUGGAAACUGUCGAGCUAGAGUCCGGAAGAGGCGAGUGGAAUUCCUGGUGUAGCGGUGAAAUGCGCAGAUAUCAGGAGGAACACCAAUGGCGAAGGCAGCUCGCUGGGACGGUACUGACACUGAGACGCGAAAGCGUGGGGAGCAAACAGG
rnacentral:rRNA from 1 species